AGUACAAGAACAUUAACUCGCUUUGAGUCUGAUAGCACUCUUGGAGGUAUGGGCUUCUUGAAUAUGGUGGUUGGUCAAGUCUUGGUCUUUGCUUUCCUCUUGCGUAGUAAUGCUGCUAUUUCUCUGCUCUGAUUUUAGGGUUCUGUUUGAACUGACCUGCAAAUUUACAACAGCCCCCCUCGAUAGAAAUGGGUAAUUGGGUGUAGGUAUGAGUUUUACCCAUUUAAACAAUAUUUUGUAAAUGGGUAUUACCUGUGAAUUUUUCUUGGGUAGGUAUAAACCUACGGAUAUUUCCUAAUGGGUUUCAAUGCCAACCUUAUUUGUGAUUUCAUCAUUUCAUGCAUAACUCAUAUGAUAUUGUAUGGUCAAGUCCCAAAGUAUAAGGGGCCUGCAGCAGAGUAAAAGCAAUGAAAGAUCUGAAAACCAACCACUUCAAUUUGUUUUGCUACAAAAUCAAGUAAUGAAGUUUGAAUAAUGCUGGUGAUCAUAUCAAAGAAUAUCCCUUAUAAACUGCACCACACAACCCACUUAAUUACCCACCCUCAUCUCUUAUUCUCUUUCCGUGUAAACACUACUAAUCCCCUUACUGUGGAGCUGAGAUAUCAGUACCCUCUUCUCUAUCUGUAG
rnacentral:lncRNA from 1 species